GACAGAGGGUGCAAACGUUGUUCGGAAUUACUGGGCGUAAAGCGUGUGUAGGCGGUCUCGUAAGUCGGAUGUGAAAGCCCUGGGCUCAACCCCAGGAAGUGCACUCGAAACUGCGAGGCUAGAGUAUCGGAGAGGUUGGUGGAAUUCUCGGUGUAGAGGUGAAAUUCGUAGAUAUCGAGAGGAACACCGGUGGCGAAGGCGGCCAACUGGUCCGGUUCUGACGCUGAGGCGCGAAAGCGUGGGGGAGCAAACAGG
rnacentral:rRNA from 1 species